AUGGACAGGUUCGUGAAGGAGCUGCAGAAGGCGCUGGACGUGGACAUCCAGGAUCGCAUCAUGAAGGAGCGGGAGAUGCCAGCUACAUUAGGAGCACAAACGCGGGGUCGCCGAGAGGGAGGCCGUUUGGAAGGCCGAGCUCUCCCGCCGCGAGGUAGUAAUCGAAACCCGUACAUGUCUUACUGUCGUCUCCUUUUCUGUCAGACCGAUUCAUCUGCGUAUUUAUACCCUGGUGUUGAUUCAUAUGAUGGUGUCGAUGGCAUGAUGCCUUCGGUAAGGGAUCAGUUGCUGAAUCCUGGUGCAUUCCAAAGUAUAUAUAUUAAAUUUACAUUUCCACUACCAGUAAACCAUGUUGUCAUCAAUCUCUGA
rnacentral:rRNA from 1 species